UCUACGGGAGGCAGCAGUAGGGAAUCUUCCGCAAUGGACGAAAGUCUGACGGAGCAACGCCGCGUGAGUGAUGAAGGUUUUCGGAUCGUAAAACUCUGUUGUUAGGGAAGAACAAGUACCGUUCGAAUAGGGCGGUACCUUGACGGUACCUAACCAGAAAGCCACGGCUAACUACGUGCCAGCAGCCGCGGUAAUA
rnacentral:rRNA from 1 species